rnacentral:rRNA from 1 species
GACGAACGCUGGCGGCGUGCUUAACACAUGCAAGUCGAACGGGAAGGCCCUGCUUUUGUGGGGUGCUCGAGUGGCGAACGGGUGAGUAACACGUGAGUAACCUGCCCUUGACUUUGGGAUAACUUCAGGAAACUGGGGCUAAUACCGGAUAGGAGCUCCUGCUGCACGGUGGGGGUUGGAAAGUUUCGGCGGUUGGGGAUGGACUCGCGGCUUAUCAGCUUGUUGGUGGGGUAGUGGCUUACCAAGGCUUUGACGGGUAGCCGGCCUGAGAGGGUGACCGGCCCCAUUGGGACUGAGAUACGGCCCAGACUCCUACGGGAGGCAGCGGUGGGGAAUAUUGCACAAUGGGCGGAAGCCUGAUGCAGCAACGCCGCGUGCGGGAUGACGGCCUUCGGGUUGUAAACCGCUUUCGCCUGUGACGAAGCGUGAGUGACGGUAAUGGGUAAAGAAGCACCGGCUAACUACGUG